rnacentral:rRNA from 1 species
AGAGUUUGAUCAUGGCUCAGAUUGAACGCUGGCGGCAUGCCUUACACAUGCAAGUCGAACGGCAGCACGGGGGCAACCCUGGUGGCGAGUGGCGAACGGGUGAGUAAUACAUCGGAACGUGCCCGGAAGUGGGGGAUAACGUAGCGAAAGUUACGCUAAUACCGCAUAUUCUGUGAGCAGGAAAGCAGGGGAUCGCAAGACCUUGCGCUUUCGGAGCGGCCGAUGUCGGAUUAGCUAGUUGGUGAGGUAAAAGCUCACCAAGGCGACGAUCCGUAGCUGGUCUUAGAGGAUGAUCAGCCACACUGGGACUGAGACACGGCCCAGACUCCUACGGGAGGCAGCAGUGGGGAAUUUUGGACAAUGGGGGAAACCCUGAUCCAGCCAUGCCGCGUGAGUGAAGAAGGCCUUCGGUUGUAAG